rnacentral:rRNA from 1 species
UUCCGUAGGUGAACCUGCGGAAGGAUCAUUAAACCUUAUACUUCGGGGGGCCGGCGUUGAAUAGCAGUUCCAUUGCGGAUCGGCUACUCUCCCCGCCCUGUCUGAACAUUACCCAUGCUUUUUGCGUACCCAUUGUUUCCUCGGCAGGCUUGCCUGCCAGCAGGACCCCUUUACAACCUUUUGCAAUUGCAGUCAGCGUCAGAAAAAACUUAAUAGUUACAACUUUCAACAACGGAUCUCUUGGUUCUGGCAUCGAUGAAGAACGCAGCGAAAUGCGAUAAGUAGUGUGAAUUGCAGAAUUCAGUGAAUCAUCGAAUCUUUGAACGCACAUUGCGCCCCUUGGUAUUCCAUGGGGCAUGCCUGUUCGAGCGUCAUUUGUACCUUCAAGCUCUGCUUGGUGAUGGGUGUUUGUUCCGCCGCAGCGCGUGAACUCGCCUCAAAUCAAUUGGCAGCCGGCAAUCUGGUGUUUGAGCGCAGCACAUUUUGCGCUCUUCGCUGUGUUGCAGGCGUCCAUGAAGCCUAUAUUUUCGCGCUUGACCUCGGAUCAGGUAGGGAUACCCGCUGAACUUAAGCAUAUCAAUAAGCGGAGGA